rnacentral:antisense_RNA from 1 species
AAAAUAAUACUCCAUGCAUUGCGGGUGGGCUUCCCCUCCGCAGGCCCCAGCCCAAGGCAGCUGGGCCUAGCUGCCCUGGUGCUGUGGGGAGGGGGGUGGGAUGGGUAAGGGGAGGGGGAUGAGGUGGGGGUGUGGGGGAGGGGGCUGUGGUGGGGCAUGGGGAGGGGGGUGCGGUGGGGGUUGGGGGAGGGCGAGUGGGAGCUGCAGGAUGGCAGGAGAGGUGAGGCUGGAGUUGGGGUAGGUCCUGAAGUCCAGAGGGAGCCCGGCUCUAGCCGCCACUCCUGCCCCACCCCAGGCCUGCACCCCAAGGGGCUCCUGCACCCACAUGUGGACUUGCCACCCACGCAUGCCACCUCUGUCCAGGCCCCAGCAAAGAGGCCAGCCCUUGGCUCUUUCCUGGGCCUGGGAGACCUGGCAGGGAAGAGGCUGUGCGGGCAGGAAACCCUGGGGUCCCCGGGGUGCAGUGUUUCCUCACCCCGAGGGCAGGGAUGCGGCCAGGUGGCCAGCACAGAACCCCUGGCAGCAGCCAAGCCUAGGGGAGGGACUGGAGGGCGG